CACGUAGGGGGCGAGCGUUGUCCGGAUUUAUUGGGCGUAAAGGGCGCGUAGGCGCCUGGCAAGUGGAAGGUGAAAUCCCUCGGCUUAACCGAGGAACUGCCUUCCAGACUGCUUGGCUUGAGACCAGGAGAGGUGAGUGGAAUUCCCAGUGUAGCGGUGAAAUGCGUAGAUAUUGGGAGGAACACCAGUGGCGAAGGCGGCUCACUGGACUGGUACUGACGCUGAGGCGCGAAAGCUAGGGGAGCAAACGGGG
rnacentral:rRNA from 1 species